CUAAGAAUCUUCCGCAAUGGGCGAAAGCCUGACGGAGCGAUGCCGCGUGAUCGAUGAAGGUCGAGAGAUUGUAAAGAUCUUUUCUACAUGAGGAAUAAGUCUGGGAGGGAAUGCCUGGAUGAUGACGUUAGUGUAGGAAUAAGCCCCGGCUAAUUACGUGCCAGCAGCCGCGGUAACACGUAAGGGGCGAGCGUUGUUCGGAAUUAUUGGGCGUAAAGGGCACGCAGGCGGCCUGACAAGUCUGAUGUGAAAUACCUGGGCUUAACUCAGGAGACGCGUUGGAAACUGUCAAGCUAGAGUAUUAGAGGGGGAGUCGGAAUUCCUAGUGUAGGGGUGAAAUCUGUUGAUAUUAGGAAGAACACCGGUGGCGAAGGCGGACUCCUGGCUGAAUACUGACGCU
rnacentral:rRNA from 1 species